GCGCUUGCUUUGGCAGCACAUACACUAAAAUUGGAACAAUAUAGAGAAGAUCAGCAUGGCCCCUGGGCAAGGAUGACACACAAGUUCGUGAAGUGUUCCAUAUUUUU